GUUUGGCCUUUUUCCUAAGUAUAAUAGUAUCGCAAGAUUUAACUUCAAUACGCAAUUCCCCGAAAUUUCUGAUUACGGAAAUGUUAUUUUUGAUAAAGGUGUUGAUUUUGUAUGAAAGGGAAGUUUGUUUGAUAUCAUUUCCUUCUUUAAGUGAUUGCAGGAAUUAUUUUUUUCUACAACCGUCCUUCUCCAUUUUUUUCAUUGAAAGAAAGACUUGAAUUCUGUUGCAUGUUGCUUAAUGUUCAUAAUGUUUCUCUUGCAUUCUGCUAUUUCCUUUUCUUGUUUUUCUACUGAUGACAAUAACUGACAAAUUUUUGAGUUUUCGUUUAUUUCUAUAUCAUAAGGUUGUUUUAUCAAAUUCUCUUGUAGUUUGUCGAGAUGGUUGUUGAUCUUUGUUCUGGUUGUCUUUAUUUCUUUUUCUAUUUUCUUUCUACUAUCUUUUAAAGUCGUCAGGCUGUCCUGUUGAUGCUGACGAAUAUUUUGUAGAUUUUCUGCUACUUCAAGCAAUGUUUCCUCUAUCUGACACAUGGCAUUGAAGGUUUUGAUAUUGUGAAUGGCGUCAUUUAAUUCCACAAAAUCUCGGCAUUCUUUAUGGCUGUCAAAGAUACAUUCGCUACAGCAGGGAAAUUCAUGCUUCUGCUAAUACAUUUGAUACUUUUCAUCAUGUUUAGUACAGUAGUGAGUAGUUUUAAGUAUAUCAGCUGCUAAUUUAUGGUAUACAAUAAAAGGUCGAACGUAAUGACUCCUGCAUAAAUUCGACAAGCUAUGAUGUUCUUUGCAUUCUGUACAUAAUCCCUCGUUACAUUCUGUACACCAGACUAUUGAUGGUUUGGUGAUGAGACGGAGGUCACAAACACCACAGCUCUGAGAUGAUGCCGCCAUCAAACACUACAAAUCACAAAACCUGAUUUAUAGGUUUUAAAUAACAACUACCCACCAACAUCACACAUCCAACGUGAUGACUUUACUAAGUUUAGGUCGAGUGCCUUGAUUCUCAUCGGGACUCCGGUUUCCUAUAUCCAAUAAAACAGGUUUCAUAAUAUAAUCAUGCGUAUUGUUAGGUUAAAGGGCAUGUAAUACAAUUACAAUGUAGGUAAGGAAGUUGUUAACGUAAAAUUAAAUGUUCGCAACAGCAAAUCUGACAUUUUGGGAAAAAGAUGCAUUUUCUGACCGAUUUUUAUCAUUCUAACUGAUUGAAAUUGAAAACGAUUCCAUGCACCCAUCGUUUUCAAAAAUACAUUUGGAUUGAUCACGUAAGAAGAAUAUUUCAAAUACCAUUUUUAUACCAAAUUUCAUUAAAAAUUUACCAAUACAGCAAAAAAAUAUGAAUGUGAGUUAUGUGUGAAAAUAAAUACAUGAAUUUUUGGGACAUUUGUAUAAAACAGAAAUUACAAAUAUUUAACAAAAAAAGCUUGUGUUUAUUUUUUAAAACUAAAAUUGUUUGGCAUUUUUGUCGAAAAGAAAAAUUCGUCCACCACUCUACAUUUUGAGCAAGUAUCUGAAAUUUCGACCUCAUAUACUUACUAAAAUAAAAUAGUACUUGAAGGUAUCUUUUGGCUAAAAACGAAAAUGACAAACAGACAAAAAACACGAACCCCACUGAAAACUGCGGGUGAUAUCAGGUGCUCUGGAAGAGUAAGCAGAUCCUGCUCAACAUCCGUCGUGUUGCUCAUGUUUUAACAAAGCCGGUAAAAAGUCUUAUUCGGUAGUUCACAUCCGUGAAAGGGAAGGAGAUUGUAGUUACGACGUAAGAAACAUAUCCGAUAUCAUCUGUGAAACGGUUAUUCCAUAACGGUCGACCAACUCGUGAUGACGUCCGUAAAAUUUACGUAGGGAUGAUUUCAGCUUCACCAUUUGGAACACUUGGUUUAAUAGCUUCCUUGUGAGCAGCAAACCUCUAUCAAAGAAAUCAUGAUUGGAAAUACAAGCACGGGAAUAUCGUAUCAAUUGGGAGAUAUAUAACCCGUAUGCAGGUGCUGCUGGAAUGUUGCUACUUAGACAUGGAAAGGUCAUAAUUGAAAAGGUGACAUCAUCUCUUUUGUAAUAAAGUUUUGUUUUUAACCGACCCUCAUUGUUAAUUUCUAAAUGUAAGUCAAGAUAUGACGCCGCCUAACGGUAUCUGUUGUAUCAUUUAUCUCUAAUUCGAUUGGAUAGAUGCGUUCAACAUAGUCACAAAAUUUUUAAAUAUUUGGUGAGAGAACAUCAUCUACAUGUAUAUAGCGGAAAGUAAAGUUAAAGGAUAUUGCUAACUUCUUAUCUUUCUUCCUAAGAAGUUCCUGUAUGAAGUCAGCCUCAUAAUAAGAAAGAAACAAGUCGGCAAGAAGAGAGGACAUAAUUGGUUCCCAUUGGAAUGCCAACUAUCUGUUGAAAAAUAUAGGCAACAGUAGUAUACCGCUGUUCAAACUCAUAAAUCAAUGGACAAAAAACAAAAUCGGGGUAACAAACUAAAACUGAGGGAAACGCAUAAAUAUAAGAGGAGAACAACGACACAACACUACAAUGUAACACACACAGAAACGGACCAAGCAUCCGACAAAAUCCCACGAGAAUAACAAAUAUAACAUCAAAAUCAAAUACAUGAAUUAGGGAUAGACAAGUACCGUGACACGUCUUAUCGCAAUGUCAAUUUACACUCAAAAAUUAGAGAAAAAAAAAACGACGCAACGUUAAAUUGUAACACACACAGAAACGAACUAAAAUAUAACAAUGGCCAUAUUCCUGACUUGGUACAGGACAUUUUUAAAGGAAAAAUGGUGGGUUGAACCUGGUUUUGUGGCAUGCCAAACCUCGCACUUUAAUGACAAUGUUAAAUAUAACAUUGAAAUGACAACAUAUUAUUACAGGACUACAAUACAAAUAAAUAGGAGAACGUAUUAGACAAAGAAACACAUGAUUAAUGAAUAACAAAAAGCAUCUGGUUUAAAAUUUAAUACGCCAAAAACGCGCCUCGUCCACACAAGACUCACCAGUGACGCCCAGAUAUAAAAGAUCGAAAGCGAAAAAAAGUACAAAGUUGUACAGCACUGAAGAUCAAAAGUUGAAAAAGGUUGUGUCAAAUACGGCUAAGUUUUUAUGCUUGGGAUAAGAACAUCCUUAUUAUUUAGAACAAUUAAUGCUAUUGCAAACAGUAAAUUUUAUUAAAUGAAUAUAACAGAUAUACAUAAUGAAACUGAAGUAUUAACUCAUUACAUAAAACAAACAUGAAUACAUAAAAACACGUACCCCGAACGUAACCAAUAUGUUGUCAAUCAAGAAAUCAAGCAUCUUGAUAAUGUCAGAUUCAAAGAAUUUUUUGUUUGAAUCAGUGUUAUCCUUUACAAAGAACGAUGUAUCCCUUCCUAAGACAAGAAACUUGUAUCUACGUUGGCCAUUUCUUUUUAUGAAACAAAGCAAUACCAACUCUAUCAAUUCGUCUUUUAGUUUGGAAUGUGGAAUACUUGUGUAAAGUGUAGAAAAGUCAAAUGUUUUAAUCAUAUAACUUGAUUUAAUCAGGUGAAAGUAGCCUUUAGGCAGAUUUUCAUAAAGAGGUCAUCAUAGGAUCAUAAUCAUUGAAGGUUCUGUAUCGCGUAGCGUCACAUUUUUUGAAGGGUUUACAGUUAUUUGCAUUAUUUUGUAGCUUCAUAAUUUUGAAAUACCAUUCGUUCAGAAAGAAUAUGUUAAAUGGUUAUGCAUCUGUGAUUUAGAGUUCCUGAUUUUAAGCAAUUCUUUAUGUGUUUUGGGGCUAAACAUAAGAGAACAUGUAUAGCAGUGAUGCAUAUACUAAUUUCAGAUUUGGUUCUUGUCUCUAUUAACUAAAUAUGCCCAUGAAUUUGUAAAUCUAGAUAGUUCCAUGGAUUGAAAGAGUAUUCUACAAAUCCUUGUAGAAAAUCAAUACAAUAUGAUGAAGAAUAUAUUUUGCCCUUGAAUUGAGACAUAAUAAUACUGAUGAUAAAUAUAUGGUUUAUCCCAGCCCAGAACGAAAGUUAAAAUAAUAAAACUUUUACAAAUGGUUCGUAUUUAGUUCAUAUUUAUCUUUAGAAAAUUCAAAACGAUAAUAAGAAAGAAUUCAACUCAGAAAUAGCGAAUUAGUCCUUAAAGAUUACCCUUUAAUGUGAAAUAUUCAUUCCCGACCUCCUAGUUUAUCAGAAAACAUAUCAAUAACGUGACUGAUUUAUUAAUGAUACAUGUCGGAAUUUUAUCUACACACUAACGAGUACGAUAGGGGCGUAUUACCACUAACCGUUAUUCCGUUGAAUAUUUCAAAAUAUAUUUCUAAUCUAAUUUUUUCUAUGAAUUUCUCACUAUUUCAGUAUACCAUAAACCAGAACGAUAAUAGUUAUCAAUGUACCAGGAUUAUUAUUUAGUACGCCAGACUAAAUUCACUGUGAUUUUUUUUUUUAAUUAGAUUAAUUGGACACUCAAAUUGGGCACAUUACCGUUGAUUUUUUUAAUUCUUUGCAAAUGACUCCGAUUUUUUCUGAUAUCAUCUUGAAAACAAGUAAACAGACAGAAAAUUAAGAAGCAAACAUGAACAAAUAAACAAGAUACAUCAGCAUGUCCAGUCUCACUAAUUAGCGAACAAGAACAUAAUUUUAGCGUUACUUAAGUUAAGGUAAUAUAAGUUCACAAGAAAUACUAAAAAAAUCAAUAAAUUAAAGAAAUGAGAAACUAUCGAAAAUCAAUAUAUUUUUCUUAUUACAGAUACUAUUAGCAAGUACAAAGUCAGGAAAAUAAACCCAAGUAAGGCAACCUGACCGCUAUCGUUUGACGACUCUUUAUAGUAUAUAGUAUAGUAAUAACAAUUUUUUACGUUUUUUAAGACUGUUUGGGCAUAACUGGUCGAUAAAAGAAUAUUGUGUACAUUUUAAUGUAACAAUGAGAAAAAGAAGGGUGUGACUAAAAUUGUGACAAAGUAUUACCCUAAAAAUCAUUCAAGUCUGUGUGGAGUUAACAUGUAUUAAAUAAAUUCUAAAUUUAACAUAGAAAUGUCAAACUGAAAACAGUAUUGAAAAGAAACAUGUACAAGUAAUUAACUUAAAUACGCAAAAUAUAAUUUCUAUGUAUAAUUACAAAGAUAUAAACCUAAUAGUAAACAUUAAUCAGACAAUUGUCAUAAAAAAAAGAUCAAGGCCUUAUGCAAAAUGUAAAAUGAACAUGUCUCCGUCCACCAUAUAAUUCAUAAAUGUACUGACCUAUCAAUAAAGGUAACUGAGGGACAGACUGUAUCUCUUUAAAAUCAUAAUACAACCUAUUGACCUCGUUGCAAAUUCUCCAUAAAUACAUUGUAGAUCUAUCAUGUAAAGUCAAUGAGAAGCAGACUGCAAUAUGACACUUUAUUCGCAAUCAAAAUGCAGGUCAAGGUGGUAUGAUAUAUACCAGAUGGACAUGCAUGCAAUCUACAAAACAAAUUACUCUUACUACUGAAAGUUUCAAUAUAUGUCACCGUUUUAUUCUCCUCCUAACCAAUCAAGAAACCAAAAUGUGUUGCAUGAUCUAUCAUGUUUAAUUCAAAAGCAACAGUCAAUAGUCAGCAAACUUAAAUCUGACUGCUAAAGUGUCAUCGACAUAUUUACCUCUCAAUCAACCAAGAAAAAGAUUGAUCUGUUAUAAUACAACAUACAUAGAAUCGAAAUAUAAGAUUACAACUGCUAUUUUCCGGAUUUGGUUCAGACCAUUUUUAGAAAUGUCCCUUAUUCAUACUACAUUUUGUAUGUUAUGUUAACCUCAAGAAUAUACUUUGUUAAUUUUGUAUGUGAUUAUUUCUUAAAUAACAUUUGAAUAAAACUAUUCAAAAAUCAUGAAAAUAAAAUCAUACUUCGUGUUGUAUGCAAUCAAAGAAAUCAGACAUAUUCCCUAUAUUUUACUCUCACUCAUUACAUAGAUUUGGUUGUAUUAUCAUUCAAACGCAUUAACGAGUUUCGUAAGUCUAGGCAUUGUCGUGGUUUAAUUUUCGAUGUUUUGUCUUGUGUAUGAUUGUCUGUUGUCUUUUUCUUUUUUAGCCAAGGCGUUGUCAGUUUAUUUUCGAUUUAUGAGUUUGACUGUCCCUCUGAUAUCUUUCGCACUUCUUUUAAAGCAAUCAAUCAUUCAAUUUGUCACUAAAUAUAGUCGUAUGUUUAUAGAAUGUAAAUGCUUGAUGCACAAUUAACACGUGACAAUUGUUUACAAACACUUUCUACAUUUACACGUGAUCACGUUAUUGUCGCUUUUCGAUUGGAUGCAGCGAGUUUUGACUGCGACCAAUAAAAAUCCUUACCUUGUGUCUCCGAAAUUUUAUCUUAAUCCGCCAAGGGUGUUGUGAACGAGAGUGGGUCGUAACCCUUGGCUAGCGAAGAUGGCAAUCAUUGAAGUUUUGCAUAGCACGUCGUAACAUUGCUUUUAUUUACCCAUACAUCAAAAAGCAGUUCCUUGGAAAUAUUAUCAAAUAAUACAUACAACUUGUUAAAAAUGCAAGAGGCCUUGAAUAUGAUUACGUUGUUUUUAAUAAUUCAAAAAAUUGGUUUACACUUAUUCAAACCAAAAACAAACUUACAAUUAAAAACCAAUUGUUCAGAGAACAAUUGAAGGUCUUUCCAUCAGUCAAUAUCUUUUUUGUUAUCAAAAUAUUAAAAAUCAGUAUUAAAUGUUAUUUCCUAUGCCUUUAUGAUGUAUAAAUAUGAAUUUAAAGCAAAGGUCAAAAUCUAGAACGUGCAAACAACCUAUGACCUUGACCUCAAUUUCAAGGUCAUAAACCAAGGAUCUCAAAUCAAAAGACCCUAGGUCUUUAUUAUGUAUGGUAAAUGAGUUAUAUCACUUUACGCAUAAUUCUAAAUAUAAGAUGGGCGAAAACUCCUAUUUAUUGUUUACGCACCCUUUCAACCAAAAUUCAUAAGUAACGGCAUGUUGCAACUAACAAUUUAGUGAAAAUAAGAUGUUGAUAUGUUAUAAGGUUUUGAAAACUAGUAAAAAUAAGCCAAAGUAAAAAUUUAGAAUGUGACCUUGACCUUUGACCUUGACCUUAUUUUGAUUUUUUUGGACCAAGGAUCUCAAAUCAAAAGACCCUAGGUCUCUAUCACUUAUGGUUUACCAGUUAGAAAUGCAAAUCACUUAUAUCAAAUACAUAAGGGGGAAUAACUCUCAUAUGGAGUCUCCGGAUAGCUUCGGUCAAAACUAAACUCCUAAUCCUAAAGAUGUAACGAGCAUUUUGGUAAAAUAAAUUUGUCGUUAUCUUUUACGGUUGCGAAGGAGUAGUGGCCACAAGAAAAACAGUGUUUGGGGAGAUAACUCUUACAACGUAAAGUAUUUGGUUACGCAGUUGUCAGUUUUAAAAGCGCAUACGCUUUACAAUAUCAUAUUCCAAAUAUCUAAGCGACAUCUUUUGAAACGUCAAUAUUACGCAAGAAAAAAAUUAGGCGGAAGCAAAAAAAUAAAUAAAUAAUCAGAACAAAAUCAAUAGGUCUUUCCACGGAAAGGUGGAAAUAUCUAACUAUCAUUUUUUAACUUAAAAUUUUAACUAAGUCCAGGGAAAUUUGAGCUACUAUUCCACUCAAUUAAAAAAAAAAUUUGGAUAGGGACUAGAACUCAAAUUUUUAAAAUUAGUAUAAGAACACGCUAUGUGCACGAUUUAGAUUUUUAACUAAAAUAUACCGGCACGGAUUAUUUUGCAGGUUGUUUGGCUAAGGGUAUUAUUAUAUGUAGUCAAAAAGAGUUAUAGAGUUGGGAAACUAACGCGGACAUGAAAACGUAUUAAGUUAAGAAAAAAAGGAAUAACAUUACAGUUGAAUGGGUAUUCAAAACCCGAUCAAUCUUUGUUACUUUACUAGUGCAACAUAUAUAUAAGGAUUAACAAGUAUGUUUGCUAGAUACGAUUUUCGUCUUUACAGACUCAUUAAUCAAGUGAAAAGGCCGAAUAAAGGACGAAUUAAAGAUCAUUGAUCAACCAGAAUCGCUUUUGGAUAGAAAUUGUUGGAUGAGCGCUGAAAAUUUAUUAUAUAAUAUACGCUUUCCUUUUGCUUAAUUUAUUAGUAUGAUACAUGGUUCGUUCUCUGAUCAAUGCUAUCAACUAUAAUUUUAAAGGAAGUGACAAACAGCUCUUUUAACUGUUACUGAUGUUUUUUGUUUUUUUUUUCUGUUGGAAAAAUCAUUCAGUUUAAAGUAUUUAUUUGUAAUUGUUGAACAUGCAAGUUAAAAAGUAUUCGUCUCGAACGUCCAUUAAACAAAGUAAAACAACUCAACACGCUACCACGUUCAACAAUGUAACCAUAAAGCCUCGGAGACUAGUAAAUAUAUUAUCGGAAUGUUUGUGCAACCUGAGUGUAUUCGAAUUCCUAAGGCUAAGGGCAUUCAAUAAUGAAACAAUUCAUAAUUCUGCAUUCUUUACAUAAAAAUAUGCUGCACAAUACACAAUUGGUUGCAUUACAUGUUGACUACUAUCCUUAAUUUAUUUGAUGGUUCAAAGUCCAAUAACUAUGGAAUGAUUGGUAAGAAAUUUUUCAAAAUCGAACGGAAACUUACUUUACUAAAUUCAACAAUCUAUGAAACUUCUCAUUUAAUGAAUACAUUCAUACGUUUUGUGCAACAUGUGAAAAAUAAUGAUUAAGAACACACAAACAUAGAAGAUGAAUGUACAAGCAGGAAAUAUCUGAAUACAGUUUUUGUAGUCGUUCCGUUCAACAAAUACCAAUAAGUGUCAGACAACCAAUUCACACCUUCCAAUUGAGAACGUAAAAGCAGCCUUACUCUGAUACAGAAUAGCGCUUUUGGUGUUAUAGUUAAGUUAUUAAUAACUUACCAAAAUAUUUGCAGAAAUGAAACUUUUGAAAGAAAAAUAUAUUUAAAAAAUAGAUGACUAAUGCCCACAGUAGUAUACUGUAGAUUCAGAAAAAUAGGGGUUAUUUUUAGUAAUACUUGUCUUCUGGAAGGCAGUUCUUUCUCACAAGUCGAUAAAAGUGGGUUGACAAUUGGCAGGACGAAAGGUGAUAUAUGCACAAUUUAGGAUAUACUAGAUUUCUAGGAAAAUUAAAUUUGAGGUAUAAUAUUUUAAAAGCUAUAAAAAUUGCAAAAGUUGGUUGAAAAGAUAGGAAUAGACACCCGGAUAAUGGCACUAAACGUAACAGAGCAACACUUUUUACAUUGUAUGUGUAGGAAUGUUGAUCAUAUAACCGGAAUCAGCCUGCCUUUUCCUCCCUCUGCGCGCCGUUUUUUUUUCUAUUUUGAGACAAUCGAUGAUUAGUUUAUUUUGUUGCAAAGAACAUCUAAAAUUGUUGAAUUACUGCAAAACAAAUUACUAUCAUUCAGUCAAUCAAGUUUAUGGUGUUUACAUCUUUGACAAUAUAACCGCCUCGCUGGUCUGGUGGUAGAAGUUUCGCUUCUAGUGCAGCAGGUUGUGGGUUAGAUUCCCAGACAGAUCAAAGUAAAGACUUUAAAAUUAGUAGCUGAUGCUUCUCCACCAAGCACGAUGCAUUUAAAACCAGCCUAUUCUGCUCGGAUUCAGAAAAAUUAUUUCAGGAAUAGUGACAUGGCCACAGUUAUAAAAAGGUACAAAUUUCUUGGUAGAUCUGACCGUAUAUUGAAAUAGCACUUUUGUCUUUGUAAGGAGAGCAUUUUAUUUAAUCGUCACUUGUUUUACACUCCAGUAUAACUUUAUCGAACUUAAGAAAAAGGAUACCACAUAUACAGAGAAGUCUGUCUCAUAUCUUUUUACAUCUAACAAUUAACAAAUUUAAAAAACAAAACUUUACAACCAGAGAGAUGAUUUCAUCUCCCAAUGUGGACUUUCCAUUUUUAUGUAGCAACAUUCCAGCAUGGUCUGCAUCUCAUAUCACCUAGUUGAUACGGUAUUAUAGGCUUGAAUUGUGUUUUAUACACGAGGCGAUUUUUAUACAAAAAUAAACUGAACUAAUACCACAGACAACAAAAUCACGAAAAACAGACGUACUCUCAUGAAGAUGAAGAAAUCCAAAUCUUAGAUAUUUAAUGUUCCUUGUUAACAAUAGAUUUUCAAGGUAUAAGACAACUGUUUGUACCUCAUUCAUGUUUUUGUUUUUCAAUAAAAACAGCCAUGAUUGUUUACCAACUGUUUACUAUUUAUGUAAAGUUUAGCUUAAAUUGAUUCAGGUGUAUCUGCGAUUAAACCCUUUAAAUCCCAGAUGCAAAUAAUGGUCAACACAUGUAAUCUACUCUCAAGUUCAGCCACAUUUAUUAACGAAUAGGGAUUCAUGUUUUCGAAAUAGCAGGUUACGUUAUUCCUCUUGCUAACAGUAACGAUCAGUAACGGGCUUGAUACGGUAUAGAGUCUUAUGGUUCCAUUUUUACUAUUUGUUACAUGUUCUGUUAUACAGCCGUUAUCAUUAAUUUUGUAAAUAAUCAUAUUUACUGAUUUUAUAAUUUCAUGUUGUUCUAUUGGCGAAUUAUAUUUCUCUUAUUUGACCCCAUGUGCAUGUGCCUGUCCCAAAUUAGAAAGUGUCUCACUUGUUUUUUUUUGGUCGUGUAUAAUGGGUUUUGAUAUCUUUGGAAUUUGGUCCUAAUGAUAGUUUAUUGAUACAUGUAGUAUCAAUAAUUAUAGUAACCUGUAGAUGCUCAUUUCUACCGUCAAUUGACAUUUGGUUGAUAGUUUGCCUCAUUUGCAAUCACACCACAUCUUGUUGUUUCAUUUUUUAUAAGAUUAUUUACUGGCAACAUCGUUUCUGGUUCUUGAUGAUACUGGUGUUCUCGUUUCAUAAAUGUAUUACAAUGCACAUGUUUAAUGAUAUAACAGAAAUAUAUCUAAUCAGUAAAUGAAUACGUUUAAUCCGCACUACAUAUUAUAGUUCUGUCAAAAAGUAAAAAAAUAGGUUCCAAACUUCUAGAUAUUUUAAAACCUGCUAAGAAUGACCAAAAGUUAAAGAAGUUUUAACUUUAAUUAAUGAAUGGCUGUAUUUUUUGAAUUUAUUGAACCAUAAAAUAAUUUUUGACUCUUCACAUUGAAUAAUCGCGAAGCGGAUUAUGUUAAAUGUGAAGAGGUCAAAAAUUAAUUUUAUGGUUCAAUAAAUUCAAAAUAAAUUAUUGCCAUUCAUUUUAAAUAAAUUUCUAUCAAAAAUAAGGCUCAAAGAUAUAUAUUAAUACGAAUAACAACGUACACAGAUGUUUGCGUAUGAAUACACAACGUUAGAGUGAGCGUGUCGCCAUAAAAAUUGAUAACAUUGAAAAUAAAGCUAAUUAUUUUAACCAAUCAGAAGACAGUAAAUUCACCAAAUUUAUUUAUAUGUGUUUAAAUAACAUUAAACAAAUGAGCCAUUGUAUUGCAGUUCGCAAUUAACAAUUGGUUCUUUGGUCCGCUAUAAUGAAGUGAGAUAUAAUUAAUUAGACCAUCACUUCCUGUUAAUACCUCUCUAUAUCGUUGUCCAUCAGAUGAGAUAACUACCAAAUUGUUCGAUCGGUAUCCCACCACGAACACAUUACCAUCAUUGUCUACAUCUAUACCUCGGGGAUCCUUCAAAACGCUAUCAUUUUGGAAUGUCCAUUGUAUUUCACCUUGUCGAUUAUAACAUGUCACAGUGUUUGUUUCAUGAUUUGUAUGAUAUAUGUUGUCCCUAAAUGUAGCAGUGUAACAGUGACUGGGCAUUUUUUCUCGGACUAUGUCACUUAUAGACUCGUCGUCCAGAUUGAUCGUUCGUAUUCCUUUGUACUUUUCGGAAUAAACCACUCGAUUAUCUUUCAGUGCUAUGCCAUAGCUAUUUGAAUCUAGUGAAAUUGUUUUCUUGAUUUUCUUUUUCCCCAAGUCUAUAAUGGUGAUACACUUCUUCCAUGAACUACCAGAUGUGACAGCCAAUGAAUUGUCGUCACUGUUGUACACUAUAUCGAACGGGUGGUACGGCAAUUCUACUUCUAAAUCUUUUAACCCUUUUAAGUUAACACAAUUAUCUUACACGCCAUGGAGUAAGUAAAUGCCAUUCUACCAUCCGACAGCAUGCAACAUCCAAAGAUAAAGUUUCCUUGAGUGUCGAAUGUCUUUUGUAGCGUUAGAUUUAUAUUUUCAAGGGGUCUUGACUGAACGGUCGGUACCAUCAUUUGGGCUUGUUUAGCCUUUUUCCUAGUAAUAACUAUAUCGCAAGAUUUAGCUUCAAUACGCACAUCUCCAAAACUUAUGAUAUCGGACAUGAUAUUCUGUAUAGAGGUGUUGAUCUUAUAUGAAAGAGAAGUUUGAGUGGAAAUCUUGUCUUCUUCAAGCGACUGUAGGAAUUUAUUUUUGCUGAAGACGUCCUCCUCUAUUUUUUUCAUGGAAAGAAAGACUUGAAGGUCGGUUGCAUGUUGCUUUAUGUUCACAAUGUUUCUCUGACAUUCUGCUAUUUCUGUUUCCUUCUUUUCUAAUGAUGACAAUAACUGACAAAUUUUGGAGUUUUCUUUUUCUUCUUCCGCAUAAAGUUUUUUCAUUACAUCCUCUUGUAGUUUGUCGAGAUGGUUGUUGAUCUUUAAUCUAGUCUUUUUUAUUUCUGUUUCUAUACCCUUUCUACUUUCUUUGAAUUUUGUCAGAUUGUCCUGUUGAUUUUGACGAAUUUUCUGUAGAUUUUCUGCUACUUCAACUAAUGUUUCCUCUAACUCGCACAUGGCAUUGGAGGUUUUGACAUUGUGAAUAACGUCAUCUAAUUCGACGAAAUCUCGACAUUCGGUAUGGCUUUGCACGAUGCAUUUGCUACAACAGGGACAUUCAUGCUUCUGACAAUAAAUUUGAUAUUUUUUAUCGUGUUUGGUACAGUACUGAGUAAAUUUAAGUAUAUCAGCUGGUAAUUUCUGGUAUUUAGUAAAGUGUACCACGCAAUGACUUCUCGACGACUUAGACAAGCUAUGAUGUUCGUUGCAUUCUAUACACAGGCCCUCGUCACAUUCUGUACACCAGACUAUGGGUGGUUUGGUGAUGUGACGUAGUUCACAAACACUACAACUCUUUGUAGCUGUCGCCAUCAAACACACACU
rnacentral:lncRNA from 1 species